CACCUCUCAGAGUCGCACCUGGAGACUUUCCAGUACUCUACCAGUCUCGACUAUGGGAGGAAGACUCAAGCAGAGGCCUGUCCAUUCCAUUCCUAGCUUGGGAAGUGGCUAGAGCAUGGAAGGCCAUCUGCUACAAGU